CGACGAAAUGGCGGCGGGGCCGGGGGAACUGGGAGGUGUCGCAGCGCGCACUCCUUGUUACUGCGCGGACUGAGGCCAGAGUGGCAGGGGAAUAGGAGGGGGCAAAGUCUGUGACGUGAGAGAACGGCUAGCUCAUUGGCUGAAACCGAUGGACGAGAAUGGAGAAAGCCGGGAGGAGAAGCCGGAACCAAGGCGGAGAGCAGGGGUGCGCAUGCGUAGGGAGGGCACGCGUGUCCCCGCCCCCUUCCCCAGAGGGGCGGAACGGAGGCCUUAAGUGACGUUAGUCAUUGUGCUAGAGGUAACUAGGGACCGCGGCGAAGGGGCGGGCUCGAGCUGACGAACAGGAUACGUCGAAGCUGCAGCACUCCACAGACAGAAUUCAAGGCCAGCCUGAUGUAUGUAACAAGUUCCAGGCCAGCAAGAGUUACAUGAUGAGACCCUACCCAGUGAUUGUAAGAAUUCCAAAAUUCAGGAUAACAAUGCGGGUCUCAGCAUGUAGCCCUGCCUGGAAAUCCUGCCUCAGAGUCUCAAGUGCUGGGUGACAGGUUUGAGUCACCGUAAGUGCUGAUGUAUCUAUCCCCAGAAACAAAAAGGAGGCCCCGUCCCAUAGCUAAUAUCCGCAGAGAUGUCUGCACCUCACUUUGGCAAACACAGCCACUCCAACCCAGCAAUGCCACUUCCAGGAAUUGAUCCUCACAAACAGAGUAGCUCUGACAUAGGAGUUAUUUAUUGCAGUGUGGUUUGUGAUAUUAAUGUAGAAAUACAUUCCAUCAAUAAAGAUCUUUCAGUUAACAUUAGUCAC
rnacentral:lncRNA from 1 species